UGUUACUAACUUAACAACUGUAGUGAACAACUAUGGCAAGAAAUGUCAUAAAAUGGGGCAAAACUCACUUAACAAUUGUCUCGCUUAGCAACAGAAAUAUUGCACUCAAUUAUGGUUAUAAGUCGAAAACUACCUGUAUCGAAAACUAGAGAAUUUUGAGUUAUUUUUUAACAGGUAGUAUAAUUCUGAGGUUGCAUUGUAGAAUCUUGGAUUUGAGUCCCAAUUCUUCUUUGGACUUGUGAAGGUAGUUAAUGCCUAUCUGUGAAAUGGCAUAGAUAUUUAUAUUAACAUGAUGGGAAGUCAAGAUUUUAAAUGCUGAAUAAGGCAAUAAAGCAUUAAAUGAUAGAGUAACAGGUCUGACUAUACAAAUAGCACUUUCUAGAUAAUAAGCUCUUGUUAUCAUUCUGAACUUUCAACGUGUGGUAAUACAGAAAUCUGACGUUUGGCUGUCGGUCGUUAAAGGUCAGCAGCUCAGCAAGCAAAAAUAAGUUACCUUGUAACAGAAACAUAUUGUAUCUUCUGCAUUUUAAAUCAAAAUUUAUUAGCCAGAUGUGGAUUUUUGGAUUUUUUUCCCCCUGAUGGAUCAACAUGGCUAUGAUUCAGGGCUUUUUGGUAAAAUGUAAGCCCUUUGAGAAUAAAUAUUUACAAUAAAUUCAUUGUGCCAAAUAUAUUACAAUCCACCAGGGUGUACUUUUAGCAUACCCAAUUGAUGUGUUUGAAGGAACAUGAAGCAGGCUGACGUCCACAUCUGGAGAUCAUCUGGUUUGGUAAAGCUAUCAUAAAUAAGCCCAUUUUUAAUCUUGUACCCACCAGUGUGUUCAGCUCAGCAUAGCUAUGAAUAUUUCACAUACUGUUUCCUCAUGAAUAAAUGUAUGAAGGAUGCCUCAACUGUUUCAUCCAUAAAUAUUUCUAUCUUUGUUGAAAAUAGCAUGCUCAGGAUCAGGUUUUAUUAAUGUCAUAGACCAUGAUUUCCCUUUGCUGACAUAAUUUGUUUAAGGGAGGUUCAACUUUUGUCAAUUUCAUCAAUGCUGAAGAAAUUAUCUACUAAUCCUGACCCGAAGAGGAAACAGAGGGAGUUUCUGAUAUUUUUUCCCCUUCAAAAGAGUAUAUAUGCAUAACCAUAUUUACUUAUUAGUUUUACUGAGGAAUAGCAAAGAAAAUGGGGCAAGAGAUGAGACGAUAUGUGGAGUUUUAUUUGCAUCUAGUUGGAAAUCUGUAGAGCCGCAAGAAAUAGGAGAUUAUUCUCUCCUGCACAAGCUGGAGGAGCUGUGGUGUCAUUUAUAAGAAGAAAAUCUCAUUUGUGAAUGUUGAAAUGUACAUCAAGCUGAAAUGAGGGAAAACUCUGAAGUCACCGAUUUGUUUUAAAUGUUUUAAAUCUAUGUGAUUUUGACCUUAGGCAUAAAUGAGAUAUACUGAAAAACAAUGGAACAAAUUAUUUAUGACCUUUCAAAGGAAAUUGAUCACAGCCAAUUAAGCUGAAACCGCACCUUAGUCCAUUAAAUGAUAUCACAAAUUGCAGCUCACUGAAUCUCAAGCAUUGAUAUAUGAUAUGGUAAAAAUAUCUUACAAAUUUAAUGGCAACAUAAAUUUGUAAAUCCGGGUACAUGUAGUCAUUUAGGAUUGUAUAUAUCAUCUUUAUGGAUCCAAAAUGCAGAUGCUGAAAUUUAUUGUUUAUUAUUCACAAUUUAAUGAAAAAAUGUAUACUUUCUGGAAAAUUAGCCUUUGAACUGAGAUGAUCACAAGUUAUCUGAAAAUGACAGUGGUUGAAAUACUAUCAUAUUUAAAUAGAGUUGCUGUUUUUUUCUUACCAGGAAACUAUUUCUUCAAGUAUUUACAGAUUUAUCUUUGCUGGGCAUUAAAGGAAGCAAUGGGGAAUGAAGUCACAACGAGUGGCUAGAUCAGGGGUAGGCAACCUUGGCUCUUUUAUGACUUAUGGACUUCAACUCACAGAAUUCCUGAGCCAGCCAAGGUUGCUUAGCCCUGGGCUAGAUAAAUCAGGCUGGCUGAUUUAUUGGGCAGAUUGAACAAAGGGGCAUUAUUUUCCCAUUUUGAUUUCUAUGUGUUUGAGCUGAAAAGCACUCAGAGUAAAGGGUCACGACUGAAAAAUCUUCAUGAUUGCCUGUAUCAGCCAUUCUGCCUUCAUUUUUAAUAAAUUUUGGCUUUUCAAUUUGAGGAGCAAAAAGCAGUUCAAUUCCAGCUUGUUCAGAACUGGCUCUAUUAUUUUGUUUUGUUUUGUUUUUUUAAAAAAUCCUGUCCUUGAAAAUGGGCUAUGUUUCAAGCCAUGUGUUUUUCCCAGACAGCAUCUACAUUUUGAGUUUUGAAACGAAAGUAGUUCUCAUUCCUUUUUACCUUUAUCUUCCCCUCUCAAAAAUCUCAAAAAUUCAGCAUUAGCAUGACCAUUUCUCUUUCUGUGAGCAGCACUUCCUCUGUUGCACACUUGUGCAAAUGUACACAAUGUGGAUCCUUUUCCAGCUGAAUUGGGCCCAUCUUGGGGAAGACUCAGUUUAGAGAUUAUUCAUAUUGAUCUAACACCAUCCCAGGGCAUUUCAUUCCUAAUUUGAUCCCUUUUCCAUUUGUUUUUGCUGCUUGUAGAUUAAAUGCAGUUAUAAAUAUCUUAGCUCUCUUCUUCUGGCAUAUAUUAGCCCUGUAUGAUGAACAACUUUUUUUUAAAUUCUAAGAAAAAUAGUGGGACAACUCCUUUUCUGAAAAUUUGAGUUGUUUUAUACACAGACCUUUAUGAAGAAAGGUCAGCUCAACCUAAAACAAACUGGAUUUUAAGAAUUCCCCCAUUCAUUCCAAUGGGGCCAAUGCAAAGGGUUUAACAUCUGUGCGAAGGACCCACUCCAUUGAAGUGAAUGGGAAAGUCCUGAAGUGCACGAACUCUAGAAAUAUUGUUAGGCAUGAUGAUAAGUUAUUCUCUUUCUAGUAAAAACAAAGAUUGUGUUCACAUUUUGAAUUAAGAUAUACUUAGCUAUAUUCUGUUUGAUUGCUUUACAAACCACAGUGGCCGCUAGACUCAUAUAAUAAGCUAAGACAAAGUAACUGAAUAUAGUUUGCCAUUAGCUAUUGUCUGUGACUAUUUCUAUUGACACAAUACCAGGGCUUUUUUUGUCAUAGAACGCCCAGAACGGAGUUACGGCACCUUUUUUGGAUGGAACCUUGUAGGUUAGGCAAGGUGUGUUGUAUGUCAUGUGUGAGUUCCGGCACCUUUUGUUUUUACAAAAAAAAGCACUGCACAAUACUAUACAAUAUAAUUUAAAAUGUGUAUCUUAGCACCUUUGGUGAACGCAGUCAGCUGUAGUUAUUCAGCAAACCUUAAUUUAACACGAAGCAUGAGUAGAUUCAUUUCCAUACAGUGUAAAAUUGAGCCCUUUGCCAAAUAUUUUGUGCAUUUGUUUCCUGGUGAUCAACAAUAACCUUCUUUUAAAGACAGAUUGAAAAAAAAAGUCAUUGUAUUAAGAUGAUUUGCUGUCAAACUGCAGAAUUCAGUGUACUUUUCAGAGGUUGUUAGAAACUUUUGAAUGGACCUUUGAAAUGAAGCUGAGGGAGAUGGAGGCGCACACACAACUGGGCAAUGGGCAUUUCCCUAACUCACUUCUAAAACCAGAAAAGGGAUUCUCUGCAUGGUAGAAUACCUCAUUUCCAUGCUGGACACUUCCCUUUUCAUCUGAGUUUGAUGUUCUGCCUAGAAUAGUCACUAUAAAUCAGAAUAGGCUAUGUUGAGAAACACUGGCGCUAGACCAAAUAAAUAAGCUGACUUAUCUAAAGCAAGGAAACUUCCCAUCUCUCCUUUGCUGUAUGGUGGAUUUGUGAUUCUUUUCAGAAGCAAUUUGUGCUCUAGAGUAGAAGUCAACAUUUUUUGGUUCCAAGCUGUGUAUUUUGCAGUCUCGGGAGCCCCAUCUGACCACAAUUGUGGAAAAUAAUGAAAUAUAGAAAUAUAUGUAAUAUACUGAAGAAUAAGGAUUCUUCUGUUGAAGGAAUGUGCUGAAAGGGAGGGCGAUGACACUGCUAUCAGAAUGGCCAAAGUGAUUACUUUGUGUUAUUUCCCUUGUUUCAAAGACUGUUCAUAUAUUUAUAUAACCACGUGGCAAGGGCCUCUCCUUCACAUGUUAAAUAACAACAGAAAGUAUGGAUUUUCAGCACUGCUUCAAAUAUCUACAAGCACUAUUUAUAUGAUUAUAGGAACCGGCCUUAUUCUAGCUAGAUCAUCAGUCUGGGCAGCCCAGUAUUGCCCUUUAAGAUCUGCAAAACAUUAAAAUCCCAAUUUAUUUCAAAUUGUUUUUCACCAUCUGUAAUCUGAUCUUUGCUUUAACCAAAAUAUGAAUCUGGGAUCUUUUGCAUGUAAAACAGGUAUUCUGUCACUGAACUUUAGUCUCUCUAAAAGGGGAUAUUGACAAUCACAUACAGUUUAGGAUGCCAGCAAUGAUCAGACUUCUGGGGAUUAAGAAUAAUUAAAUAUGACCAUAAAUGAAAAGUAUAAAGCCUUACCAGACCAGGACUACAGUUGGAGUCAUGGAAUUGCAAUUCCAUGGUUCAGCUCUGAUCUUUAAUUUGAAAGCCUGCCAAAAUCCUUGCACACUUAAGUUCCCUUUUUACAGAUGCACUAUGUGUUUAGCUUAUUGCUUGCACACUUUUCCUUUGUGAAAAUCUGGCCCUUUAGGGCUUUUUGCCUAGGGUAUGUGCAAUAGUUAGCAGCUUGCUUCUACAUAUACUGCACAAGGAGCAACAAGAAAACUUGUUUAAAAAAAUGUCAACUUAUGGUAAUCUCUGCAAAUAUGUGCCAAUGUUCUUUGUGGUGUAGAUCUGAGUUCAUUGAAAAAUCUUCUUGUAAAGACACUGAUUGUAACUGAUGGCUUCUAUGAACAUUCAGAAUUCUCUUUGCCAAAUCUGGAUGCUAUUGAAAUUCUACAAGAUGAAGUUAAUUGCAUAGAUGUGGAAUUUUUCAUUUUCACUUUUGCCUUUCUCAGUUUUAGGGUAUUGCUUUUGUUCAUUGGAUUUAAAUGCACAAUUUAGCAGUGAACUAUAUGCCAGUAGUAACAAGAUUUGGAAAGAUCCUUUAUUUUCAUUGUCAAAUUAGGGAUGGGUUUUGACCUCAGAAAUUAUUAUCAGAGAAGUCUUUGGACAAAGCAGAUGUAUAUAAAUGUCUAUUUUAUAUAAAAAUGAUAAAAGUA